rnacentral:rRNA from 1 species
AGAAUUGCAUCAGAAACUGUUGAACUUGAGUGCAGAAGAGGAGAGUGGAACUCCAUGUGUAGCGGUGGAAUGCGUAGAUAUAUGGAAGAACACCAGUGGCGAAGGCGGCUCUCUGGUCUGCAACUGACGCUGAGGCUCGAAAGCAUGGGUAGCGAACAGGAUUAGAUACCCUGGUAGUCCAUGCCGUAAACGAUGAGUGCUAAGUGUUGGGAGGUUUCCGCCUCUCAGUGCUGCAGCUAACGCAUUAAGCACUCCGCCUGGGGAGUACGACCGCAAGGUUGAAACUCAAAGGAAUUGACGGGGGCCCGCACAAGCGGUGGAGCAUGUGGUUUAAUUCGAAGCAACGCGAAGAACCUUACCAGGUCUUGACAUCCAGUGCAAACCUAAGAGAUUAGGUGUUCCCUUCGGGGACGCUGAGACAGGUGGUGCAUGGCUGUCGUCAGCUCGUGUCGUGAGAUGUUGGGUUAAGUCCCGCAACGAGCGCAACCCUUGUCAUUAGUUGCCAUCAUUAAGUUGGGCACUCUAAUGAGACUGCCGGUGACAAACCGGAGGAAGGUGGGGAUGACGUCAAGUCAUCAUGCCCCUUAUGACCUGGGCUACACACGUGCUACAAUGGACGGUACAACGAGAAGCGAACCUGCGAAGGCAAGCGGAUCUCUGAAAGCCGUUCUCAGUUCGGACUGUAGGCUGCAACUCGCCUACACGAAGCUGGAAUCGCUAGUAAUCGCGGAUCAGCACGCCGCGGUGAAUACGUUCCCGGGCCUUGUACACACCGCCCGUCACACCAUGAGAGUCUGUAACACCCAAAGCCGGUGGGAUAACCUUUAUAGGAGUCAGCCGUCUAAGGUAG